rnacentral:rRNA from 1 species
CGCCUCUUGCAAAGCAAAAAUAAGAGGUCCCGCCUGCCCUGUGACUACAUGUUUAACGGCCGCGGUAUUUUGACCGUGCGAAGGUAGCGCAAUCACUUGUCUCUUAAAUAGAGACCUGUAUGAAUGGCAUAACGAGGGCUUAACUGUCUCCUCUCCCCAGUCAAUGAAAUUGAUCUCCCCGUGCAGAAGCGGGGUUAAAAACAUAAGACGAGAAGACCCUAUGGAGCUUUAGAUAAUAGUAGAUUCUACGUUAAUAACCCUGAUAAAAGGAUUAAACAAGUAAAAAUUCUGCCAAUAUCUUCGGUUGGGGCGACCGCGGGGUAAAAUUAAACCCCCGUGAGGAAUGGGCUAAAAUCCUAAAACUAAGAACCCCUGUUCUAGGUAACAAAAUCUUUGACCUUAAGAUCCGGCAAUGCCGAUCAACGAAUCAAGUUACCCUAGGGAUAACAGCGCAAUCCCCUUUAAGAGUCCCUAUCGACAAGGGGGUUUACGACCUCGAUGUUGGAUCAGGACAUCCUA